UACGUAGGCAGCGAGUCGUUGUUCGGAGUUACUGGGCGUAAAGGGUGUGUAGGCGGUUUUCUAAGUUUGGUGUGAAAUCUCCCGGCUCAACCGGGAGGGUGCGCCGAAAACUGGGAGACUAGAGUGCGGGAUGGGAGAGUAGAAUUCCUGGUGUAGCGGUGAAAUGCGUAGAUAUCAGGAGGAAUACCGGUGGUGUAGACGGCUCUCUGGACCGCCACUGACGCUGAGACACGAAAGCGUGGGUAGCAAACAGG
rnacentral:rRNA from 1 species